ACUCCUACGGGAGGCAGCAGUGGGGAAUUUUGGACAAUGGGGGUAACCCUGAUCCAGCCAUGCCGCGUGAGUGAAGAAGGCCUUCGGGUUGUAAAGCUCUUUCAGUUGGGAAGAAACGGGGUUCUCUAAUACAGGGCUCUAAUGAUGGUACCGACAGAAGAAGCACCGGCUAACUACGUGCCAGCAGCCGCGGUAAUACGUAGGGUGCGAGCGUUAAUCGGAAUUACUGGGCGUAAAGCGUGCGCAGGCGGUUGUGUAAGACAGGUGUGAAAUCCCCGGGCUUAACCUGGGAACUGCGCUUGUGACUGCACGGCUAGAGUACGGCAGAGGGGGGUGGAAUUCCACGUGUAGCAGUGAAAUGCGUAGAGAUGUGGAGGAACACCGAUGGCGAAGGCAGCCCCCUGGGCCGAUACUGACGCUCAUGCACGAAAGCGUGGGGAGCAAACAGGAUUAGAUACCCUGGUAGUC
rnacentral:rRNA from 1 species